rnacentral:rRNA from 1 species
AUUGAACGCUGGCGGCAUGCCUUACACAUGCAAGUCGAACGGUAACGCGGGGCAACCUGGCGACGAGUGGCGAACGGGUGAGUAAUGCAUCGGAACGUGCCCAGUAGUGGGGGAUAGCCCGGCGAAAGCCGGAUUAAUACCGCAUACGACCUACGGGUGAAAGCGGGGGACCGCAAGGCCUCGCGCUAUUGGAGCGGCCGAUGUCAGAUUAGGUAGUUGGUGGGGUAAAGGCCUACCAAGCCUGCGAUCUGUAGCUGGUCUGAGAGGACGACCAGCCACACUGGGACUGAGACGCGGCCCAGACUCCUACGGGAGGCAGCAGUGGGGAAUUUUGGACAAUGGGGGCAACCCUGAUCCAGCCAUGCCGCGUGCGGGAAGAAGGCCUUCGGGUUGUAACCGCUUUGUCAGGGAAGAAAUCUCCUGGGCGUAAUACCUCGGGGGAGUGACGGUACCUGGAGAAUAAGCACCGGCUAACUACGUGCCAGCAGCCGCGGUAA